UGCUGUAAGGUACAUAAAGGUUUAAAACUGUUAUCUCUUUAUAAUCAAUGUACAAUUUGGCGAUAUGAAAUAUUCAUCUUUAUCCUGUUUGAUGCUUGUCACUUCAAAUUUUAUCUGUCAGAAAAUACUAUGUUAUACUUACCUUUCUUAUUUAAUACAUCUUUAUUUUCCAAUUUUUGGUGUUAUGUUCUUGAUGUGCCUUUUGCAAAUAGCUUAUAAUUCAAAUUUGUGUGUCUCUUUGUAUGUGCAUUGCAUAUGUGUUUGUAUUUAGAUAGCAUCAUUGCAUUUUCCUAUUAUUCUAACAUUCUCAGCCUUUUAAAUAGAGACACAGCUCUGCUAUAAAUUCAUACUUACAAAUAUAUAAUUUUGGUUAUACAAUAUUUGAGUUGAAGGUGAGGUGAACAAGUGUUCUUAGAAUUUCAUCAUGAUGUAAAGUAUUAUGGAUUUUUUCUUCACAAACUAAAGCUAAGGUGGUUUAAAUAAGAAGAUUAAACUACAAGAAAAAAAUUAAAAAUAACAUUUAAGAGUUCAGCUAACCUUUAAAAUUGAUGCUUACACCAAUAACUAGAUACAUGGUAAGUCAUAUGCAUCAAAAAUAUGUGUGUCAUAAAAUGAAUAUAUUGCUGGAAAUACCACUCAGCCUACAGAAGAUGGAAAGAAACAAAAGUAAUACUCAAUGUCUCUUCAAUGAAUUAUAAAGUGAAAAAAUUCCUUUAAUUGUGCAGGGCAAAGAAAGUGGCAGAGAGAGUGGCAAAGAUUUUUAGUGGCCAUAAUUUUUCAAGGGCUCCUUUCCCUUUCCAGAAACCCCAGCAGUUAACCUUUUCUCUAAUAUCUAUUGUUCUCAAUUAGCUGCUGACCAAAUGAUGCCAGUAGCCUACAGUAUUUCUUAAUCAAUUUUAGCAAGUAGAAAUUAGCAAAUGAAUUGCAAAAAAACAUAUUCUCAACAUAAUCCCUUGAGGCAGAGCAGGAUUUCUGCUCUUUGGGAAAAACAAACUUGGAAAUAUAUGGUGCAACGCUAUAGCAUGUGGAUCAGCAUUUACUGCUUUUGAAGUUUUAAGAGACACAAAGUUCAUCCCAUUGCCAAGGAAUUUCCCAGUUGUGUGGUUUACCCAGAUGAUCAGAUGCUUUCUGAGCUCAGCAUUGAUCAUCUUGCAUUUUAUUGGUCUCUGCAGUGUCAUUACUAUGGUUCAUUAUACUGUUUGCAACUGUCUUGGCCAACCUUGAAGAUGGGUUCAAAAAGCCUCUCGUCCUGCGAACAUUUCUCCAGCUUUGCCUAUUCUGACUAAGUCAGCUAGGUUUCCUCCAAUCAGGAACUGAUUAGGUGGGAAAGGCAUGAAACAAAAUCAAGUGUUGGGCGGGCAUAUAGAUCAAAAUCUCUUCUAUGCUUGUUAUCAGGGCUCAUUCCUGAAGCCUCUCAUGUAGUUACUUCUAUCCUAUUGCCAGGGAGCCUGGCUAGGUUCUACCAGCUUUUAAGUUCUAGUGGAAAAGUUAAAACCAUGCUUCUUAGAUUUUUCCAUCUAUGUACCGUUGGUAACAGAACUCAAUCUGGGAAGGGCUGGGUGUUUAUGGGAUGAAGUAAGUGGUCUCAGGUGGUCAGCUCUGUGUGUGCAUGCGUGUGCAUGUAUAGCUCAUGUGUGCGUGUGUGUACAUGUGUGCAUGUGCAUGUGUGAAGCAUGCCACCUGACACUGUUCACCUUCAUUCUGGAAAGUAUACAAUAAUUUAUUUGGGGGUCGAGGAAUAUUCUUGUACUCUCAAUUUAUAGACUUUUGUUGAAGUUCUACUGUGGGCAUGAGGUUGGCCAAUCAGAACAUUAUUCAGCUAGCCACAGUGACUACUUCAGUGACACAACUUGAUCCAGUGAGACUUAAAGAUUUUUCCCCCCGGGACUUCUAGGAAAAAUGAUUCUUGCUUUUUUCCCUGAAUUUUGAAGCAGAGCUCUCUGACAUCCAUCUUUUGUUUAUAAUAAUGAAGUCAAUAUGGAGGAGAGAAGAUUGUAAAAUGAGAUGAAGAAAAACGUCCAGUACUACAGUGUCCAGUGAUGACCCAUUAUGAGACAAAAAUUUCACUCAUAUAAACUGUCUACAUGGCUGAAAUAAUUGUGUACCUGGACCAUCUGCGGCUGCCUCUUCCAGAACCUUCCCGUGGACCGCUCCAGGGCACUCUCUGGAAGCCAGAAUGGACUCCUGCUGAUUCUCCCACAUAUUUGUCUUGAAUGAAGGAAUGGCGUAUGCCAGUGGAUUUCAAAGCUUCUCACAAAACAUCUCCACAUCUGAAGUCUCAAGAGUUUAUGUCAAGCAUUUGUAUUACUUACAACUAAUUAAAUAUACCAUUCCUGUUUUACAACAUGAACACAUCUGCUGAUAAUGUUGUAACUUGUAUUAUUAUUAUUUAUUUGAAACAAUACAUUAAUAAUUAAUGAGUAGGUCAGUAAUAUAAAACUAAUAUCUUGACCUAUUUAGAAUAGACAUUAAUUAUCACAUGUAUAGAAAAUAGUGUGAUUUUAAAUAUUUUUUUCACAAAAAAUAAUUUGGAAGCAUGUUAAAAUACCUCAUUUCCAUAUUAUUUAUUUACCGUGAUUUGGAGACUAUAGUUUAAAGUUUUAUUUUACAAGACUAAGCAGACUGUCAAAAAGGGUAGGUUAUGAAUAUUAAAGAAAAGGCAAGAGAGUUGGCAUUUGGAAGUUAAUUGUAGUGAUUUGUUGAGGUUAUCUAAGGGAAAAUACCAGAUGACCCCAUUAUUGGAUUUGAAUAUAAAAAUGCUGGAUGUAUGAUACAUGGUAGCCUGAGAUCUAUUGUUCUUAUCAGAGAGAUAUAAAAUUACCUAGAUUUAACUGAAGGCAGAUAUCAAACUUGUAAAAGAACUGAUAUUCUUCAGAGGAGUGCAAAUUCUAUGUUAAAGACACAAAACAGAUUCUUAUUGCUUAAUACUCUGCCACAGUUCGAUAGUGACAGAAAUUGGUUUCCUUUUUCCUCCCUACCCCUACUGUCUUAUUUCUACAAUUCUCUCUAAAGUUACCAGUUUUUGGAUGACUGAUUCUGGUUUUUACUAUAUGAUCACUUGAUCAAUGGAGACCUGCCCAUCCUGCUUCUGACUAUCGUGAUGUCAUAGUAGAGCUGCUUUAGACAAAUCCAAAGUACUCACUUCUUCCUCCAAUUUAUUCUUAUCUGGUUUAAGAAAACAGUAACUUAUUUUUGGCAGAGUCUAUCAAAAAUGAGAGGAACUGUCCAUAGUAUAAGUUUAGUUUGAGUACAGAGAAUGAUAAAAGAUAUUGCUAAAAUAAAAUCCUAUGUAUCUAAGUAGCAACUCUUUUUAUCUUUUUCUUUAAUAACAUAGCUAUUUUAUGCUGCAUAAAACAGAAUACAGGUUCCAGGGCCUGUUUGGCCACUUAGAACCGCCUCUUCUUUAUUUAUAAAAUGGAAGUACAGAAACCGUGCUGGGUUUAAUAGGGAAAAUAAAAUAAUGUACAGGAGAA